AACUCUUGUUUUACCUGCAGUCAGAGUAACUACUUAAUAGUUAAAACUUUCAACAACGGAUCUCUUGGUUCUGGCAUCGAUGANGAACGCAGCGAAAUGCGAUAAGUAAUGUGAAUUGCAGAAUUCAGUGAAUCAUCGAAUCUUUGAACGCACAUUGCGCCCUCUGGUAUUCCNNNGGGCAUGCCUGUUCGAGCGUCAUUACAACCCUCAAGCUCAGCUUGGUUAUGGGAGCCACCGGCACGGUGCUCCUCAAAGUCAGUGGCGGCGCCUUCCGGCUUCAAGCGUAGUAAUCAUCCUCGCUCUGGACGUCGGGAGGCUGCUCGCCAGCAACCCUCACUUUUAUAAGGUUGACCUCGGAUCAGGUAGGGAUACCCGCUGAACUUAAGCAUAUCAAUAAGCGGAGGA
rnacentral:rRNA from 1 species